GCCCCCUCCCUAUAGGGGCGAAUUUGAAUUUAANCGNCCCGCCGAAUUCGCCCUUUUGCCAGCAGCCCGCGGGUAAUACGAAGGCCNCCCAAGCGUUAUCCGGAAUUACUGGGCGUAAAGNGUUCGUAGGUGGGUKAACAAGUCAGAUGUGAAAGGUCCGGGCUCAACCCGGKACUUGCAUYCGAAACUAUUCAUCUUGAAUGAGGGAGAGGUAANCGGAACAGUAUGAGUAGGGGUGCAAUCCGUUGAUACAUCMUAGAACACCAAAAGCGAAGGCAGNUUACUGGMACUCUAUUGACACUGAGGAACGAAAGCGUGGGGAGCGAAAARGAUUARAUACCCUGGUAGUCC
rnacentral:rRNA from 1 species